GGCAACCCGCUCGGUCCUCUUACACACUGUGGUAGCUUUGUUCUUUUGCUCUUUGCAAUAAAUCUUGCUACUGCUCACUCUUUGGGUCCACACUGCCUUUAUGAGCUGUAACACUCACCGGGAAGGUCUGCAGCUUCACUCCGGAAGCCAGCGAGACCAGGAGCCCACCGGAAGGAACAAACAACUCCAGACGCCCCGCCUUGAGAGCUGUAACACUCACCCUGAAGGUCUGCGGCUUCACUCCUGAGCCAGCGAGACCACGAACCCACCAGAAGGAAGAAACUGAACACAUCUGAACAUCAGAAGGAACAAACUCCGGACACGCCGCCUUUAAGAACGGUAACACUCACCGCGAGGGUCCGAGGCUUCAUUCUUGAAGUCAGUGAGACCACGAACCCACCAAUUCCGGACACUCUUCUAUUUCUUGCUGUCACAAAUUUCAACUUAGUUACUUUGAAACCCAGUAUUUCCUUAGUAUCUCCUGUUAAAAUACAGCCUAUCUUUUUUCUUUCCAUUUUCACCCUUCUUGGGAGCCUGUCUCCUCUUAACAUUUUCUGAAUAUUUGCAGUAUCAAUUAUUCAUCAUUAGGAAAAAAUUACCAUUUGAAAUGAGUUGAAGUAUGUGGGUUGCAGUGUUGACAAUUUGGAAAUAGCAAGCAUAGACAACUUUUGGCUCUCACAUGGAAUAUAGACAGAGACUAUGAGGAAAGCAUGCUUGCUUCUUAACCACUUCAACAGCACGUAACACACAUCACUUUUGUCUAUAUUUCUUGGCAAAAACUUGAUGC
rnacentral:lncRNA from 1 species